UUUAUGGAGAGUUUGAUCCUGGCUCAGGAUGAACGCUGGCGGCGUGCCUAAUACAUGCAAGUCGAGCGAACGGACGAGAAGCUUGCUUCUCUGAUGUUAGCGGCGGACGGGUGAGUAACACGUGGAUAACCUACCUAUAAGACUGGGAUAACUUCGGGAAACGGGAGCUAAUACCGGAUAAUAUUUUGAACCGCAUGGUUCAAAAGUGAAAGACGGUCUUGCUGUCACUUAUAGAUGGAUCCGCGCUGCAUUAGCUAGUUGGU
rnacentral:rRNA from 1 species